CCCCUCUCUGGGUUGCAUCUGGAGAGUUUCCAGUACUCUACCAGUCUCGACUACAGGAGGGAGAGUCAAGAAGAGGCCUACCCAUUCCAUUCCUAGCUUGGGCAGUGGCUAGUGAGUGGAAGGCAAUAUGUUACAAGU